UACGGAGGGUGCAAGCGUUAUCCGGAUUCACUGGGUUUAAAGGGUGCGUAGGCGGACAGGUAAGUCAGUGGUGAAAUCUCCGAGCUUAACUCGGAAACUGCCUUUGAUACUCUCUGUCUUGAAUAUGGUGGAGGUAAGCGGAAUAUGUCAUGUAGCGGUGAAAUGCUUAGAGAUGACAUAGAACACCUAUUGCGAAGGCAGCUUACUACGCCUAUAUUGACGCUGAGGCACGAAAGUGUGGGGAUCAAACAGG
rnacentral:rRNA from 1 species